rnacentral:tRNA from 1 species
GGUGAGAUGGCCGAGUGGUCUAAGGCGCUAGAUUUAGGAUCUGUACUAAACUCUAGUCUUCGGGCGUGGGUUCGAAUCCCACUCUCAUCA